ACGCUCAUGUGAAACUCCUUCGACGAGUCGAGUUGUUUGGGAAUGCAGCUCAAAAUGGGAGGUAAAUUUCUUCUAAAGCUAAAUAUUGGCCAGAGACCGAUAGCGCACAAGUAGAGUGAUCGAAAGAUGAAAAGCACUUUGGAAAGAGAGUUAAACAGUACGUGAAAUUGUUGAAAGGGAAGCGCUUGCAACCAGACUUGCACGCAGCUGAUCAUCCGGGCUUCUGCCCGGUGCACUCGGUUGUGUUCAGGCCAGCAUCAGUUUUGGGGGUGGGAUAAAGGCCCUAGGAAUGUAGCUCCUCUCGGGGAGUGUUAUAGCCUAGGGUGCAAUGCCACCACCCGGGACUGAGGACCGCGCUUCGGCUAGGAUGCUGGCGUAAUGGUUGUAAGCGACCCGUCUUGAAACACGGACCAAGGAGUCUAACAUCUAUGCGAGUGUUUGGGUGUCAAACCCAUACGCGUAAUGAAAGUGAACGGAGGUGAGAACCCUUAAGGGUGCAUCAUCGACCGGUCCUGAAGUCUUCGGAUGGAUCUGAGUAAGAGCAUAGCUGUUGGGACCCGAAAGAUGGUGAACUAUGCCUGAAUAGGGUGAAGCC
rnacentral:rRNA from 1 species